AUUGCUUACCAGUAGGGGUCGGGUAGGGGCUAGUUCGCCCUUGCCCUAAACACCCUCCUCCUCUUCCUCCUCCUUCUUCCCCCUCCCUCCCCCUGGCAGCAACCUCUGGCAGGAAUGCUGCCCUCAGAAUGCUGGUUCCCAGAAGGGAACUGGGUAGCUUUCACACUCCACAAAGACACCCAGUACGCACAGAGUGACCAUGGUGAUGACUCAGACCUCUCUGUUGAGGGGCUGUUUGUGAGCGACAACCUGGUGCCCGAGCUUUGGAUUAGAUGCCAUCACACAUGGGCACCACGGGAGAAUCGCCUCUUGGCUCAGCUGGUGGAAGACGAAGCACACUCUCACCUCCAUCUUUAACUCACACUCUGUGCUCUGCAGAUCGUGGCUUUCUGUAAGUGCAGGAGCCGUGUCUCCUACAGCCCCACAGCCCUCUACCUGCCCUGUGUCCCACAUGCCUCAGUCCUGGUACCUGCCCUCUGCUCACUGUUCCCAGCCAUCCAGGGCAUCAGGACCUGUAAUGGAGCUUUGUGGAGUCUGAGCUCUCCGUCCCUUGGCUGCCCUAACUCACUGCAGACUCAUCCACACUGUCCUGCCUCCACCAUCAGCCUUGACUGAUGGAUGGGCCACGACUCCACAUGUAGCCACAGUGCAAGGGACAUUCAGAUUGAUUCCAGGACCUGUGGCCAUAAAUGAAGCCAGAAGCAUUUCUCCACGUGGAGGUCUGCACAGUCACCCAUCUUUAUCCCUUUUGAGUGGGGCUUGGGGCUAUGACUCAUGGGAGAUGUUUAGCCCAUCAGAAACUGCAGGGCCUGCACCAAGUGACCAGAUGUCAUCUCACAUGCUUCCUACUGACACGUGUGGCACUGGCAUUUCCUCUUCCUCUCCUUUCUUAUCUAUUAUCUAUUAUUUAAUGGUGUGUUUGUGUUUUGAGACAGAGUUUCUGUAUGUAUUUCUGGCUGUCCUAGAACUUGUUAACGUAGACCAGAAUGGCCUGAAACUCUCAGAGAUCCACUUGCUUCUGCCUCCCUAGUGCUGAGAUUAAAGGUGGGCACCACCGCACCCAGGUAGUCCUCUCCUUUCUUAAACACACAAACAAGGAGCCACACUGGUGGGUGUGUGUGUG
rnacentral:lncRNA from 1 species